GCCGCGGGUACCUAGCUCCGCUUAUUCACCAGUAGGAUGACAAAUCUCCCGGGCGGGUGUCUGUCUGUCCCGUCCUUCCAGACAGAGCUGCGUCCCCAUCCCGGCGGCGGACCGGCCGGCGAGGAAUUGUGAAGUCUUGGAGGAUCUUUGCUGCCAAGAUGAGGAGUUAUCCAGAGGAAGUGAUCAGGCUGCACAGCACAAGGGAAGAGGAAAGAGGGAUAGGACAUUCUCUGAGGCUCAACAGCUUGAAGAGCCACCAAUCCCACCUGCAGCUGAGAAGUUGGCAGUGUUCAUCCCUAAUAUGAAGAAGGGUGUGGUGUAGCCAUCUUCCUAAAAUGGGACUUUGAAGGUAAGUGCAAUGGGAAUUUGAAGGUAAGUGUCAUGGACCAGCCUGCUGUGCCAAGUCUGCCUGCACAAACAGAACGAAAGACAAAAAGACUGGUUGUGGUCUUCAGCCAUAGGUGAGAGCAUGAUAUAAUCUGCAUUCAGAAAAAUCCCACCAAAAGACUCACUCCCAAGGUGUAGCUUAAUUUCACAGCACAAAUUCAGUCACCAAUUUUGUUGUACUACUGUGUAUCAUUAGUAGCGAGUAUUUUUUAUCAGUCUUUUCUAGCAGUGGGAACUAUAUGAGCCAGUCAUGGAUGGUAGCAUCCCCCCUGAGCAGCAGACAAUACUUCCAGGACCAUAGAGAGUAAACUUUUAGGGAAAAAGAUGUAUAUAGGUGAGGGUGUUUGAUUGACAACACUAUUCAAAAAAUCAGUGAUAUUCCCCCUCAUAGUCUCACAACAGGAAAAAUACUAUCCAUUAACUAAUUAGAAAGAAAAAUUUUUAAGUGACCUUACUUGCAGAUGUAUUUCUUUCCAUGAUGGCAAUAUAGUUUAGAAAUAUUGAUGAUUUAAUCUUAUUUAAGUAAUAAUAACAUGAAUUAUCGUGAACAUUUUGUACACAAAAGAAAAAUUUAUAAGACAAAGUCGUUUUGCAAGGUAGGACAGAGUCAACAUAUGAUGAAGCAAAACUCUGCUGACUAUUAUUUUUGCAAACUACCUGAAGAACUCUAUUUACUUCACUUCACUGGAAAAACUUUAUAGAUGUACAUUCCUACAAGCAUGUAGGGUUCUACAUGUUUAUACUGAAGAAAGGUUUCUG